rnacentral:lncRNA from 1 species
GCCGGAUCACUAUCAUUAUGUUGAGCGUUUCGCGACAAAAGUCACAGGCUUGACAAAAUUAUAAGAAGUUGUGAUAUGAUUGCCAAUUACACAACUCUUCACUAGAACAAAUGUCAUAAAAAUUAAUAAUUAUAGGUCACCUAUCAACCAUGAGCAAAACCCACAAGACAUAGUCAGCUAUAAAAGGAAAUGAGAAAUGUAAAACAUUUCAUACAUGAAAACAAAUGACCUGAAUUAAAGUAAUGAACAAAAAACAAAUAUAACAUACAGCAACAAACUACAAAGAAUUAAUUUACCAGCUCCUGACUAGGGACAGGCACAUGCAGAAUGUCGUGGUUAAAAUAGUUCAAUAACUGAGAUUGGAUUAACCUCUUAAAUCUUUUAAAGCUAAAGCUAGUAGGACAUAUUUCUGAUUUCAUUUUGAAACCAAGUUCAAGGUUAAGAUCAAGAGA